UCUUGCAUUGCCAAGGUCCAAUGCUCCUCCCCAAUUGCUUCGGAAAUGGUUGAGGGUUCUAUUUGAGAAACGAAAGCGGUGUGUCCUAUAGUGUUCUUAAGAGUGUUUCGAGAGCUUCCCCCUUGUUCGAUGUUACCAAUUACCUUGUCGAGAGGAUGGUCUUUGAAUUUCCUCCAGGCAUUGGGCAGCACCGUUUCUUC
rnacentral:lncRNA from 1 species